rnacentral:rRNA from 1 species
GAUGAACCUUGGCGGCGUGCCUAAUACAUGCAAGUCGAGCGAACAGACAAGGAGCUUGCUCCUUUGACGUUAGCGGCGGACGGGUGAGUAACACGUGGGUAACCUACCUAUAAGACUGGGAUAACUUCGGGAAACCGGAGCUAAUACCGGAUAAUAUUUCGAACCGCAUGGUUCGAUAGUGAAAGAUGGUUUUGCUAUCACUUAUAGAUGGACCCGCGCCGUAUUAGCUAGUUGGUAAGGUAACGGCUUACCAAGGCGACGAUACGUAGCCGACCUGAGAGGGUGAUCGGCCACACUGGAACUGAGACACGGUCCAGACUCCUACGGGAGGCAGCAGUAGGGAAUCUUCCGCAAUGGGCGAAAGCCUGACGGAGCAACGCCGCGUGAGUGAUGAAGGUCUUCGGAUCGUAAAACUCUGUUAUUAGGGAAGAACAUACAUGUAAGUAACUAUGCACGUCUUGACGGUACCUAAUCAGAAAGCCACGGCUAACUACGUGCCAGCAGCCGCGGUAAUACGUAGGUGGCAAGCGUUAUCCGGAAUUAUUGGGCGUAAAGCGCGCGUAGGCGGUUUUUUAAGUCUGAUGUGAAAGCCCACGGCUCAACCGUGGAGGGUCAUUGGAAACUGGAAAACUUGAGUGCAGAAGAGGAAAGUGGAAUUCCAUGUGUAGCGGUGAAAUGCGCAGAGAUAUGGAGGAACACCAGUGGCGAAGGCGACUUUCUGGUCUGUAACUGACGCUGAUGUGCGAAAGCGUGGGGAUCAAACAGGAUUAGAUACCCUGGUAGUCCACGCCGUAAACGAUGAGUGCUAGGUGUUAGGGGGUUUCCGCCCCUUAGUGCUGCAGCUAACGCAUUAAGCACUCCGCCUGGGGAGUACGACCGCAAGGUUGAAACUCAAAGGAAUUGACGGGGACCCGCACAAGCGGUGGAGCAUGUGGUUUAAUUCGAAGCAACGCGAAGAACCUUACCAAAUCUUGACAUCCUUUGACAACUCUAGAGAUAGAGCCUUCCCCUUCGGGGGACAAAGUGACAGGUGGUGCAUGGUUGUCGUCAGCUCGUGUCGUGAGAUGUUGGGUUAAGUCCCGCAACGAGCGCAACCCUUAAGCUUAGUUGCCAUCAUUAAGUUGGGCACUCUAAGUUGACUGCCGGUGACAAACCGGAGGAAGGUGGGGAUGACGUCAAAUCAUCAUGCCCCUUAUGAUUUGGGCUACACACGUGCUACAAUGGACAAUACAAAGGGCAGCGAAACCGCGAGGUCAAGCAAAUCCCAUAAAGUUGUUCUCAGUUCGGAUUGUAGUCUGCAUCUCGACUACAUGAAGCUGGAAUCGCUAGUAAUCGUAGAUCAGCAUGCUACGGUGAAUACGUUCCCGGGUCU